AUUGAACGCUGGCGGCAUGCUUUACACAUGCAAGUCGAACGGUAACAGGCCUUCGGGUGCUGACGAGUGGCGAACGGGUGAGUAAUGCAUCGGAACGUGCCCAGAGGUGGGGGAUAACGCAGCGAAAGCUGUGCUAAUACCGCAUGUGAUCUGAGGAUGAAAGAGGGGGACCAAGCAGCAAUGUUUGGCCUCGCGCCUCUGGAGCGGCCGAUGUCAGAUUAGGUAGUUGGUGGGGUAAAGGCCUACCAAGCCGACGAUCUGUAGCUGGUCUGAGAGGACGACCAGCCACACUGGGACUGAGACACGGCCCAGACUCCUACGGGAGGCAGCAGUGGGGAAUUUUGGACAAUGGGCGCAAGCCUGAUCCAGCAAUGCCGCGUGCGGGAAGAAGGCCUUCGGGUUGUAAACCGCUUUUGUACGGAACGAAAAGGCUCUGGCUAAUACCUGGGGCUGAUGACGGUACCGUAAGAAUAAGCACCGGCUAACUACGUG
rnacentral:rRNA from 1 species